rnacentral:rRNA from 1 species
GAUGAACGCUGGCGGCGUGCCUAAUACAUGCAAGUCGAGCGAACAGACGAGGAGCUUGCUCCUCUGACGUUAGCGGCGGACGGGUGAGUAACACGUGGAGAACCUACCUAUAAGACUGGGAUAACUUCGGGAAACCGGUGCUAAUACCGCAUAACAUGUUGAAACACAUGGUUUAACAUUGAAAGACGGUAUUGCUUUACCUAAUGAAUGGAUCCGCUCCGCAUUAGCUAUUGGUUAAGGUAACGGCUUACCAAGGCAACGUUCCGAAGCCGACCUGAGAGGGUGAUCGGCCAAACUGGAACUGAGACACGGUCCAGACUCCUACGGGAGGCAGCAUUAGGGAAUCUUCCGAAUUGGGCGAAAGCCGGACGGAGCAACGCCGCGUGAGUGAAGAAGGUUUUCGGAUCGUAAACCUCUGUUAUUAGGGAAGAACAAAUGUGUAAGUAACUAUGCACGUCUUGACGGUACCUAAUCAGAAAGCCACGGCUAACUACGUG